CUGCAGGCUGUGAUAGCAUUCCUGCACAUGUGCAGGCCUGCUGCUGCCUCCUCUUACAGUUGUGCUGAGCCUGGUCCAUCUUCAUCCCUGCACCCACGCGAGGAUAUCGUAGUCACAGACACACCUGAGGAUUAGCUAACAGAAAAAUGGUGUUCGACACCCUUAUCAAGGGUCUAUCUCUUCAUCUGGCGAUCUGUGUCUAUGUAGAUGUGUGCGAGUCACACAUACACACGCAGACACACAUACACGCAGAGCAGAAACUGACUUCAGUGCCAUUUUGCAUCAUCACCCCUAUUAGGAUUAUCAGAGUAUUGGAAUUGGAAGAAAUAUGGUUUUAUGUCACAAUAAAACGCCGGUCACAUCUAAUUCUGCCCUCAAACAAACAGAUUUCUGAAAGCCUUGCAGAGAAAUUUGAAAUAACUUUAAAGAGGGGGUUUUUGGAUAAAGUCUUUAUCCAGGGGCUUGUUCAACUGCAGUGUAAAAGGUUUAGAGAGAGAGGAGAGGAGAGAGAGAGAGGAAUAGAAGGAGGGAGGGAGAAGGGAAGAGGGAGAGAAGAAAAGAAGGAGAAAGGAAGACCCACACAGCCGUUCUGCUUGCUGAUCUCUCUUCAAACACGCUGGAGCAUCGUCAAGAAAAUGCAGUUUGGAUGAAAGAGGCUUGGGAAGGGGAGCAGACGGACGGUGGGCUUCCGCUGGGGCUUUGGGUGUGGGAAGUUGCUUAUGCACACCCCUCUGAAACAGACACUUGUUCCCCAGUUGUUCUGGAACUAUUAGUAGUUGACGGCACGUCUUUCAAGAAUCAUAAACAAAUCAAUGUCAGUUCUGUGAGGCCUUUGGAGCUCAGAGGCAACUCUAGUCUUUUUUUUUUUUUGAUUCCUUUGCCAGGAGAUUUCAACCUGCUUGAGGAUUUAGGUCUUGUGUUCCCCCUAAGAAAAUCUUCUGUCAAACACCGCAGACAGCUCUGGCCUUUGCUCACAUCCGUGGGCUCACGGCAAGCACAUAACCAUCACUAACAUAAGAAACCACUCGUUUCUUCUCUUCUGUGUGGCACAAAGCAAUUUAGCCAGACAGGGCCCUGCCCACCAGGGGCUUAGCCCAGAAAAUGUCCUUAAUUUUUGCCUCUCGCUUUGUUCAGGGCCCGGCUCAUGGCAGACCGGGUACCUUGAUUGAUAAUGAUGGCCGAGUCUUACAUGGUGCCCUGCUGGUGAGUAUUGGUGAUUUCAGAGCACUUUAAGAAUCUGUUAGAAAUAAAUCGCUUGGAUUUUCUAAGGUGUUUUGUAUAAGAGUAACUGGCUUUUCAAAAAAGCAUGCUGAAACCUGGGGCAGUUUGGGAACUUAAAACUUGUCCUAAGGCAAGUCCGCCAGGCUAAGUACCUCCAGCCAGCUGUGCAAAAAGGGAGAUUUUGAGGAACAGACCGAGCCAAACAUCUGACCUGGAAGCAAAGAGUGGACUUUCCUGCCUCAUUUCUUUACCUGAAGAGAUAGAGAAGUGGUAGAAAUGGAGAGAGAAGGGUCAUUUGAGGUCCUUCCAUCCUGUAGUGAAAUGACUGCCAGGACUGAGACAGAGGCACGAGAGGCCUAGAAACUGCUUUAACCCAAGACAAGUCUGAACUGCUGGAAGUGCUUUUGACUCUAAGCGGUGAUUUAGAAAAAAUCUUUUUAAAUGCAUAGAUCUUAAGUGAACAGUUUUAUUGACUUCGAUGUAAGUAUAUACCUGUGUGACCAACACUCCAAUUAACGCUCAACAUCUCUGUCCACCUGGAUCUCAAUGAACGGUGUCCUUACAGCCUCCAAAUGCACCAUCUGUGGAGACAUGCGGUGGCCCAGUAGGCAGGUGAAGAGAUGCUGGCGCGCAGGUAAUGAGCAGAUUAUUGGACAUGGCAAUAAUAACUAUGAUAUUUGGCUUUUCAGUUUGCCAAACACUUUCACAUACUUUGUCUUAGCGUAUCCUUCCAGAUGAUGAAGAUGAUGAGGAUAAUAUCAUCAAUAACAACAAUACUCGUAGACACUGGGAUAUGUUCAUGUUGUGUCAAGUACAUAUUUAUCAUGACAUUUAAUCCUUUCAACAAUGCUUUAAGGAUGGUAUUAUUUUAUAGUUGAAGAGACUGAAGCAAAGAGAGGUUGAGUAAUUCACCCUAGAUCACACAGGGAAGUGAGAAUCCAGAAACGGUGCUUUUAACAAAACGCGUGAGGCCUGGAAAGGGC
rnacentral:lncRNA from 1 species